rnacentral:rRNA from 1 species
UACGAAGGGAGCUAGCGUUGUUCGGAAUUACUGGGCGUAAAGGGCCAGUAGGCGGCCAACUAAGUCCGACGUGAAAUCCCCAGGCUUAACCUGGGAACUGCGUCGGAUACUGGAUGGCUUGAAUUCGGGAGAGGGAUGCAGAAUUCCAGGUGUAGCGGUGAAAUGCGUAGAUAUCUGGAGGAAUACCGGUGGCGAAGGCGGCAUCCUGGACCGACAUUGACGCUGAACGGCGAAAGCUAGGGGAGCAAACGGG